CGGGAGGUAAUGUCUGGGAAACUGCCUGAUGAGGGGGAGUAACUACUGGAAACGGUAGCUAAUACCGCAUAACGUCGCAAGACCAAAGUGGGGGACCUUCGGGCCUCAUGCCAUCAGAUGUGCCCAGAUGGGAUUAGCUAGUAGGUGGGGUAACGGCUCACCUAGGCGACGAUCCCUAGCUGGUCUGAGAGGAUGACCAGCCACACUGGAACUGAGACACGGUCCAG
rnacentral:rRNA from 1 species